AUACAACCGCUAGGGGGCACUUGUCGCAUUGAUGGCAAAGAGAAGGUUGGGGACACAGAAGAAGAAUAAACCUUCGCGUUAGAUGCUAAUGGAAGCUCAACAUGAGCAUCUCAGCCUUUCUAUAAUACAGCCUGAGAUCUCAGUCAUUCUUUUGGACAGUUGACAGCUCACAGCUUUUACAAUCAGACCAAACAACCACUUGCACAGCUUUCGUCAGCAGCACAUCUGCGUCUAAGGGUCACUAAUGACCUCUUGAUACAUGCCAGAGCUGGAAUGGAGAUGGGUUCUGCUGGAGGUUUCUUGCUGUGACAAGUUUUUCUGUCCGCUGCCACCUCAUAAAACUCAGUGAGAGGGAUUACUACAGUCAUAAGGCUUGGGAGUUCAGCGAACACACAAGCGGGAUCACAAAUUAUUAAACAACAGCCUGAACAUCACAACACUUCGAUAGACGAGGAGUGCUGUGCAACAGAUCAACGAAGAGGAGGAUUGUGUAACUUGCAUGGGGAUUAAAGACAUGGCAGAUAUCAUCAAACAUCAGGCACCACAUGGUUGCAACGCAGUGCCUGAAUCAUGAACGUUGAAAUUUGGAGCAACUCACCCUAGAAAAGAAGAAACACACGUUUUCUUAGAAUCUAGGAAGAACCUUUUUCUUUUUCUGUUGGUCAUAAACGUGUAGAGCCUUUGCCACAAGUCUUACGCCUGUGCCUGGGGUAAGAACAUUUCAAUUUCAAUGAAAGUCCUUGUUUGUGUUUGAUUGAAUCUGAGUUGCACUGUGAGGUGAUGCUUAGCUUAGCAAUCAAGACCUUCAGUUUGAAACUCUGACUUUUCUGUGUAGAUUUUGUGCCUCCUCCAGGCAGUCCACUUUUCUCUGAUAGUUCAAAAACAUACAUCUAGGGUCAAUUGGGUUUGUCAGCAUAAGCAUGCAUAGCUAUCUCUGUUUUGCAAUUGAGCCUCUGAUAGAGUGGUAACCUGAGACCCACCUCUUGGCUCUUGAAAGCUGGCAUAGACUGUGCACAGAAAACAAGGGCUUUAGAGCAUUUAUUUAGACAUCUGAACAUUCCACAAACUUGAUGCCUUAUUAAAUGAAAAAUAGGGGCGUUUGCUUGGUUUAGUCUGAAGUGAAAAUAUCCAUUGGGCAGAAUUUGAAGGAGGAAUGUACAAAACAUUGAGUUUUGUCUAGAAGUAACCCACUCGCUCCUCUCAUUCUUGUCUCUGACAUAUAUAAACUCUUGAUUUAUCUUUGCAUCUUUGUAGCAUAUUUGCAUCCACAGUCAUUUAGCCCACCUAAUUCCUGAACAUAAUGAGCUAAUGAUGUCUUACCCAGCUCUUACUCUUCCUUUCUAGACAGGGAAAUUUGAUUCAUGUUUGUUUUUGUUCUUAUUUUUUUUAAAAGUCUGCAUUGUAGAAAUCAACAAUUCAGUUUUAUGGUUUUCUAACCAUCAAACAUAUUCUUAAACCUGCCAAGACACAGACUUAUUACUCUUCAUUUAUUGUACUCUAUACAUUCACCUUAUAUUUUCGCACUUUUGUCAAACGUUUGUGUGAUAAAUCUUCAAGUAAUUUUGCAGUUUGACGUAGAACACAGCGUGGCAAACAAAUUGAUAUUGAUGUUCUUGGAAAAUGGACUCAAAAACUGAACAUUUUGGUCUGCAUGCAAAAAACAAAGUUUGGAUUAAAACUAACUCUGCACCUCAUUGAAGCACACCAUAUCCAUUGUGUAACAUGGCAGUGGCAGUAUAAUACUUUGGAGAUGUUUUUUUCUCUAUCAGGGACUGGGAAGCUGAUUUGAGUUGAUGGGAACAUGGAUAAAGCUAAACAGACAACCAUGGAAAAAAAUAAAAAAUCAGGGGCUCGAAAUGACUGGAGUGCAGCAGAUAAUCACUUUCCAGGAAGAAAACUACAUAAUUAUACAGCCAGAGUUACAACCAGGGGUUUUUUAUCAAGGCAUAUUCAUUUGUUAGCAUGUCCCGGAAAAAGAAUAGACCUAAGUUCAGUUUAGAAAUUGUGGAAAGGUGGAAAAUUGAUGUUCACAACCUGAGUUUAGGUUAUUUUAGCAAGCAAUUAUCUAGACAACCCAGACUACUUGCAGCCGAUAUUGAAGACAAAGGUGAUAUUGAUUAAUAAGGCCUGAAUGGAUAUGUAUUUGAAAAUGUGUCAUGUUUCCUUUACUUCACAAUUAGAAGUUAGUUGGUCUGUUGCAUAACAUCCCAAUAAAUUAUACUGAAGAUUGUGGUUACAACAUGUCAGAAUACUGAAAAGUUUAAGAGGAAUAAAGACUUUUCACCGGCACU